rnacentral:lncRNA from 1 species
UUAGGGGAGAGGGGUGAGCUAAAAGCCCAGUGAGCAGAAACUAAAAACAUUAUAUUAAAAUUCAUGUUUUCAUGAAAUGCAUCAUAUCACAGACAAUUCACAUCAAGGGUGAACCUGUCACCAAUUAGUCCCAACAUAGUCUCGUGCCAGGCCGUAGCAUGGGGUCCUGGUCUUCCUGUCAUAACAUACAUAAAGUCUCGUGCCAGGCCGUAGCAUAGGGUCCUGGUCUUCCUGUCAUAUCAUAUAUAAAGCCUCGUGCCAGGCCGUAGCAUGGGGUCCUGGUCUUCCUGNNNNNNNNNNNNNNNNNNNACAUACAUAAAGUCUCGUGCCAGGCCGUAGCAUGGGGUCCUGGUCUUCCUGUCAUAACAUACAUAUAGUCUCGUGGACUAAUUGGAUCAUACAGCAUUCACCCACAACCACAAAAUAAAAUGCAAUGCGACAUAUUCGUGAACUAAUGCAAUCAGCCUAUUACAUGUCAUCAUGAUGCAUGAAACAUGCUCAAAACAUUUAAUUGCUUGCUUUAGAACAUUAAGCUUGUUUCCACUCACCUCUGGCUAGCUCUGACCAGACACUGAAGCAGCUCACUCACUGCUGGGGUCCUCGGUUCCUCGGGUCCGAACCUACACAGGUGGACUCCAAUGAGGGACCAAACAUAUAUAAACAUAACUCUAAUAUAUCCCCCAAAAACCCCCUAAAACAUCAUGAAAACAUCACAGAAAAUAUGCAUGAAAUGGCUGAACAGGGCACCUUCGGCGGCACCUUCGGCGGCCGAAAGUCCUGGACAGAGACGAAACUCAGCUAGGUUCGGCGGCACCUUCGGCGGCCGAAAGUGCCAGACAGAGACGAAAGUCUCUCUUCGGGGGCACCUUCGGCAGCCGAAAGCUGCCUUCACAAGAGGGGUUCGGCGGCCGAAACUCCCUUCGGCUGCCUAACCUGGUUUCUGCCAAACGGCAGAAACUUGGUUCAAAUGAACCUCCUGCCUCCCAAAACCAUAGAUCAUGCAUAUUUCUCAACCAAAACACAN